rnacentral:snoRNA from 1 species
AUUUGAUGGUGUGGGCAGCUUGCACAUACUUCUUGAAACGCUCCCAAUAUUCAUACAAUGACUCUCCAUUGUUUUGCCUUAUACCAUAGAUUUCCUUUCUAAUGUU